rnacentral:rRNA from 1 species
AAAUGAAUUGACGGGGGCCCGCACAAGCAGUGGAGUAUGUGGUUUAAUUCGAAGCAACGCGAAGAACCUUACCAGGGCUUGACAUCCCUCGAAUAACGUAGAGAUACGUUAGUCCUACGGGACGAGGAGACAGGUGGUGCAUGGUUGUCGUCAGCUCGUGUCGUGAGAUGUUGGGUUAAGUCCCGCAACGAGCGCAACCCCUGUUGCUAGUUGCCAGCACGUAGCGGUGGGCACUCUAGCGAGACUGCCGGUGACAAAUCGGAGGAAGGUGGGGACGACGUCAAAUCAUCAUGCCCCUUAUGUCCUGGGCUACACACGUACUACAAUGGCCAUUACAGAGGGCAGCAAAGCCGCAAGGUGGAGCAAAUCCCCAAAGAUGGCCCCAGUUCGGAUUGUGGGCUGCAACUCGCCCACAUGAAGUCGGAAUUGCUAGUAAUGGCAGGUCAGCAUACUGCCGUGAAUACGUUCCCGGGCCUUGUACACACCGCCCGU